rnacentral:rRNA from 1 species
GAACGCUAGCGACAGGCCUAACACAUGCAAGUCAGGGGCAGCACAAGGAGCAAUCUGAGGUGGCGACCGGCGCACGGGUGAGUAACACGUAUGCAACCUGCCUGUAAGCGGGGAAUAACCCGCUGAAAGACGGACUAAUACCGCAUAAUACUAAAUUACUGCAUGGUAAUUAUUUAAACAUUUAUGGCUUACAGAUGGGCAUGCGCAUGAUUAGCUAGUUGGAGAGGUAACGGCUCCCCAAGGCAACGAUCAUUAGGGGUUCUGAGAGGAAGGUCCCCCACACUGGUACUGAGACACGGACCAGACUCCUACGGGAGGCAGCAGUGAGGAAUAUUGGUCAAUGGACGAGAGUCUGAACUAGCCAAGUCGCGUGCAGGAAGAAUGUUCCCUAUGGAUUGUAAACUGCUUUUGCAGGGGAAUAAAGUGCAUCACGUGUGAUGUUUUGUAUGUACUCUGCGAAUAAGGAUCGGCUAACUCCGUGCCAGCCGCCGC